rnacentral:rRNA from 1 species
UACGAAGGGGGCUAGCGUUGCUCGGAUUUACUGGGCGUAAAGGGCGCGUAGGCGGACAGUUAAGUCGGGGGUGAAAGCCCGGGGCUCAACCUCGGAAUUGCCUUCGAUACUGGCUGUCUUGAGUACGGGAGAGGUGUGUGGAACUCCGAGUGUAGAGGUGAAAUUCGUAGAUAUUCGGAAGAACACCAGUGGCGAAGGCGACACACUGGGCCAUUACUGACGCUGAGGCGCGAAAGCGUGGGGAGCAAACAGG